GCCCAUGUAGCUCAGUAGGUAGAGCACGUCUUUGGUAAAGACGAGGUCACGGGUUCGAGUCCCGUCAUGGGCUCCA
rnacentral:tRNA from 1 species